rnacentral:lncRNA from 1 species
GGAGGUUCUGAGAAUUCAAAAGUCCGAAGUCACUUUCUUUGUCCCUAGGAAUCUAAGUUCCAAAAGCAGACGAAAUCGCUAUGGAACCGGACCUCCUCGCUGCCGCUUAAUUCAUUACCAGGAAGAGGGAAAUUCGCUUUUUUAGUAAGCCCUAUUAGCUAGUAAGGGUGGGUUGAAAAGGUAAAGAAGGAAGAAUCCGAACGAAUGCAUGGGCAGGUGAAAUGAGCCCUUUUUUUUUAAUACCCUCGUCACCUACUAGUGAGCCGGAAAGCUUAGGGACGCCUCUCGUUCCUCUUCCCCCAUUUGACAACCGUAUCUCGUUCGGAUGAUUCUCUGAAACCCCCUUAACUAAGAGAGAGAAAGGCGAAGGGAAGUUCGGAAAAGCCUAGCAGACGGGACUAUCAACCCCUUUCUAUUAAGACCUCGGCACCAUCCUUACCCCCCUACGAAAGAUUUAGCCCUAUUUAUUUAUAAGAGGAAAGCUCCCAGGUUCCACAUCUUAAAGAAGUGCAUGACCAGAUUGGAAGCACGGAGGUUCAUUCGCAAUGGGACAACUCACCCAGCCAUGAUGCAUGACAGAAGAGAUCGAGCACAAAAUGGAGUUUCCCUCUUGGGCGAGGCUCACGUCCGGAAAUAAUCUUUUUCAAGACUUUCUCUCCUAUGUUGACCUUUCUCUAUAUUACCUUAUUUUUUAAUUCACUUGAAAGCCCCUUUUCUGGUAGACCUGGGCAUGUUCCAUGGCGCGAAGUCUCUUCUCAUCUAAUAGCUCUCAUUUUGGGGAUAUAUAAAAAGCUCUCUAUCAUCCACAUCCAAAUCUUUUUCUGGGCCCUGAUGUUUCAGGGAAUGGCGGAAUCCGUCUCUAGCAAGUACGCAACUGGCCUUAAAUUGUAUCGAGAGGCCCUUCUCAUAAGAUGUUGUAAGGGCCUUAUUCGACGAAGCUUAAAGCAGACAUCAAGAGCUAAGAAGGGGGCCAACAAGCCCCUUUGAAGCUAAUGCCUUAGAAGCUACAGGACAUAGAAGCAGGCCAACAAGUGGAUUGAAUCUUUUCCAGUCUAGAGACUGGCGGAUUACCUUCGAAACAAAGGAUUGCAAAAUUCCUUCUGCUUUGGACAAGAUAAGUGGACAGAUGAGUUGAAUAAUACAGGGACUGAUAAGCUAAGCGAGGUUCCCCUUUGAGAUCUCCCAACCUAAAGGCUUUAUUCAGAGGUGGGUCUUUCAACCGCCUACUCUUUCGAUGAAGGGUGCACUACAAGAGAAUCGGUACUAAAGAUAUUAAAUGGGGGGAUUUCGCCGAUAUUGAGUCGACUAUAAACUAUUCAUCUUGCUUGGAACCGUCGUUGUGUAUGGGAAAGAGGGCUUCUACCUAUGCUUGGUUGGGAAAAGGGUGAAUGGUCCCAAAAGGGACGGGAAAAAGCCACUAGAAAGAACGGGGGGUCAUCCACCAAGUAUCAAGCUGGGUAGUCCACUUUAUCCGUGACUCUGAGUACAAGAUUUCCGGGAUCAAGAAACUAGCAAACAAAUAUGCUCGGCUGGACUCUUUUCUCGUAUGCCCGGAAAAUUCAAUUUCGGUACAACUCCGCUUGCUGCAAAGCCUUUAUUUAUCGUCCAAACACUCCAGAUCUACACUUCCCUUUACUCCAUAGGGCCGAAGCCUUAUUAAGUUAAGAAUUAAGAAGGGCUUUUUUAUAUAGAGAGAGAGUCAGGGGCGAUCUAUAUUGCUUACCACAGCUCUAUUCCCGACUUGAAAUCCAUAACGGACUUUAAGAGAGGAUGAACAUUCCUGUUCUAUAGGUAGCACUGCCCCUAUUAGAUUAGAGAAGGGUGAGGGCCCACUUCCUUCUGAUCUGCUAGCACUGUGAAUUACCUUAGACCUACGCAACAGGAACGGGAUGGAGCACCUACUCUACUGGUCGUCUACUCUCUCGAGGUCAUCCUUAUCUAGGUACAAAAAGGACAUUACGGGAUAUCUCCAAAAUUCGAUGUAUUUCGUGCAGGACACAUCUCAUGUUUGACGAAUCUAAAAACCAUCGCCUUUGCAUCCAAUAGCUUCAUGGCGGCUAUGAUCAGAUCCCAGUGUUGGUUCACUUUUGACUUUAUCCUCCACCAAAUCUUCUGAUCUCCUGUUCUCAAUGAUGUUAAGCAGCUCCUGAUCGCAGCAAUCAUGCCUUCGAAGGUACGUUUUUUCAUUCAGGGUCUUACCUUGGGGAUAGACGAUGGACCCGCCAUUCGACAUGAUGCAAAAUUUUGAAAGAAAAUUCCAUCAAAUAAAAGGAGUUUACAUUUCUGACAUCUCUUGACACCCUUACUUUUAAUAGGGGGCCUUGCCUCAUGAUUUUCUUGGCAAGCAUUUGGCUGUUGACGUGUCCUCCGCACCCACUUGAAUGAGCUUGUUCAACAAUGUGUGCUCCUUAUUUCGGAAGGGCGAGUGACCUUUUGUAAAGGACAUCUCCCAAGAUCACAAAUCGUCGGGAAAGUUCCCUCCGGGCUCUCCUCUGACCACGAGUGGCGUACUCCGGUAUGAACCCGUCUUGAGGUAAUUGUAGAAAGAAUAAUACCAUGGUUCCCAUCGUCCUCGUAAUCUUCCUCGUCUUGACUGGUGAUAGUUCAUCAUGUUCCAACUCCCGAUAGUCUUCAUCCAAGAAGAGAAAUGAGUCCCGUUCGGCGGAAGGGCUCUCUGUGGCUCGGAUGUCGAUGACAAGCGACUCUGUGCUUCGGUGUACUAGCAUGUGUACUAGAGCGGCUGAGUAUGAAUUCCAUAAGGGCUGGCGAGUCAGCCAAGCGAUUUUCUAUUCUCGGAACAUGGGUGAAGGUGAUCUCCCUAAAGCGCUUGAUCAGGUCAAUGGCAAGUUCUUGGUACGAUAUGAGUUGGGUCUCUUUGGUCUUCCAUUCUCCUAUACCUCUCUCUAUAAAAAAAGCCUUUCCCCUUUUAAGAAUACCCACGGUAAGCAUCCUGCUCUCGAUCCAGAGCUACUGCUUCAACAAUCAACUGAGCUUAGGAAGUCAGGUUAAGACGUCGACUUAUAAUUGGUCUUGCCCGAGGAGAUGAAAAAGAAUUAGGGCUUGCUUUCUCAAUUCACAUCUAUGAGCGAUGAUUCCUCUAUCUCUUGCUCGCUUCGAUCGGACUCUGGCAGCUUAGGGAAGAAUGAUGGCUCGCUAACAAGGCCCCUAAAUGACCGCUCAGAAGGCCUACCUCUUUUUUUCCCAAUCUCUCACUCGCUCGUCCCUCUCUCAUGAAAGAUUGUCUCUCCUCUCCCGGCGGCUUUUAGUCAUGUCUAUAGCCAGUUGCUAAGACGAUUCCCACUCAAGCAUUCUCAUUCAACGGUCUAUCAAUGCUGCCUUAUUUAGUUCAAAAUUACUUUCUUUCUACUAGUUCUUACAUAAGCAAUUUGCAGGAAGUAAACGAAGUCUUUCCUUCCGAAAUCCACUCCUGAAGUCACGUCUUUCAGUACUGGGACUGAAGUCAAGUACUUUCGAGUUGCUCUUUGCCCAAAGCCCUCUUUCCGACUUAGAAAGACCAACUAACAAUAGCUUUAGCAUCUCUUGAGUUGGAAAGGUCUUUAUAGAGCUAAGGGGAAGGUUUGGAACCCUAGUAGCAGAAUGGAAUCAGCGGGCUGACUUCCAUGCUAACACGAGUAGUUUAACUCAGCAUUACCUCGUAAGGUCGUUUUCAAUUUUUUUUGCUUUGCGAGAAACUUUUUAAAAAGUCUUCAAAUAGCCAUUGCAUAGUUUACGAAUUAUGCUUAGUAGGGACCUAAACACAGGAAUGGUUCAGAGUCAGACCACGCCUUAUGACGAAAGGGGGAGAAAGGAUUGUCGAUCUGUGAUCAAAGAAAACUAUACCUGAAGAAUGGGAUACAGAUUGACCGGUACAAAAGCCAUCUCUAUCAAUCUACACUCAUUGAUGAGACGGCGACAUAGAGAAGUCGCCCCCUUCUCACUUAAAAGUAAAGAAGAGAUACAAACUUUUGAAUCUAAAUUUGGUGGAAUCGAGGAUGGAAUCGAAUAGCGAAUGCACUUGACCGACCCGCCAUCUCUUUCCUUCAAUAAUGCCUUCACUUCACUUCAAAACACUAUUUGCCAAUAAGAAAAAAACUACCUGAAUGGAAGAAGCCGAAGGGGUGAACGAGCGCUACGGUAACGAGCUUUCCUCCUGCCGGCCUUUAUAGGAGUAGGGGAGCGUGGUGAGAUAGAUAGACGUCCAAUCCUGCAGCAGCUAGUUGCUCGGCCUUAGUCUUGGGCUGAUCUCACACUUCAAUCAAGCCCUUCGUACUUCGAUCCAAUCAAUCGAUCGAUCAAGAGGCUAAUCUCUUUUGUUUGGGCCGGUAGCUAAAAGAAAGUCCUCGCUUUCUCUUGAACAAGGGAAGGGCAGCAUAGCAUUAGCUUCAAUUAAACAAGCUCAACCUUGAGAAAGGUGGUAGGCCGAAGAACCGUUGAACGCUUCAACUUGGCCACUGAAGAAGGCGAAGGCUGGGCGAGAGACUAGGCCAACUUACUGCUUACUGCUAUGCCAUGGUUGAAGCUUUAGGCUCCAUAGACGGAACUAUGUAUUAGGUAUUAGGGAGGGGAGGACACCACUCAGCACCCCACGGAGCGGUGGGGUUCAAUGCCUAAAAAAAAAAAGAAAGAAAAAAAAAGGGGGGAAAGAUGACUCUAUGGCUGAGGGGAGGAGAGAAAGAACGCAUGCAUGGAUAUUCUGUCUGUCGGAGGUUCGAUAAUCUAUGAAAGGACAUCUAAAGCUAAGGUUACGAAGUAAAGGAAGUCCGAGAGAAGUGGUGAUCUCAUCUUGCUUGCUGGGAGAGAGGAAGCUUCCGGACCACCUUUUCCAGCCAGAUAGCGAGCGAUCACUCAGCAAUGAACACUAACUGAAAGCGGCCGGGAAUGAGUACCUAUCCCUUACGGGAAUCGAACCCGUGUCUUCGACAUGGAAAGAAGAUGUCCUAACCACUGGACGAAAGGGACCAAAAAGCUAUUCUUCAUAUACCGCUCCGUGGACUCCGAGAAGAGAAGUGGUUCGUUUUCUUUCUAUACGAAAUUAAAGAUUUCGUUUGUGUUCAUGUUGGCGAUUUCAGAUGUAAAUUCGGCGGUUCGUCCCCCCUUCCUACGGGUUCCCCCACCCCCCUGAAUAAGUAAGGCCCCGCUCUUUCUAAUAAAAAAAAAAGAGGGGCGAAACGCCCGUUUGAAGUGGCGAAGGCCUAUGCUACAGUAAGAAAAAAAGUAGGUUUCGGUUACGAAGUCACUUAGUCGAACUAUAAAGAAAGGGAGGCUAAGGUUACGAAGUAAGGUCAACUGGUUAAGGAAAGCUCAGGUUAUGAAAAAGUUUAGCCGUUAAUUAAUUCAAUUAAGUAGUAGUGAGACGUCGGUACGGAGUUGCGUCAGCUAUGGAUAUAGACUAGGCUAAGGGGCGGACUUCAUCUCUUCUAUUCUCUUCACUUACACCUUACACUUCUACUGAGUCUAACGAGGCUCAGGUGCGGAGCCUUCCACUGUCAUUGUGGACCGAAACUACGCAAAGGUAGAACAUCAUAGAAACUUCGCUGACUUUCUCAUAAACCUUGAUUUCACUACGCUCAAUAAGAAGCCGAAAUCGCUUAAAUUGGUUCGUGUUCCGUUUCCAAAGUAAGUCGUCUUUACCCAAGUGUGAACUUCAGACGACUCUCAAGCGGUUCCAUUCCUUCUUACUGUACUUAUGGUUCAACCCAACCCGAAUGGGAAGAAGGGGGUCAACCAAACAGCGGUUCACUUUGUACGUUUGCUGAGCAGACCAAUCAGGCAUUUUUUUUCUAAAAAGGAAGGGAACUUCUCACCGAAGGAGGCAGUAGGAAUGAAGGAGGCGGGAAGCUACCGCUUCUAGAAUGGUUGCUUAUCCUUCACUUUUUUUAGAGCGUCUCGCUAUUCAAAAAAAAAGGUUUAUGUAAUCGGAAAAAUGGUUACGGUUGCGGAAACCAGAGAAAGUCGGGAACCAUCGGUUACCUUUUGAAUCAAAGUAGCGACGAGCCUAGUAUUACGACUACAGGGGGAGAAGCAAAGCUUCGUAGACAGCUUCGCUUCCUCGUCGCUUCUUUCUAGCGACCAGCUUCUCAAGUGGGUGGCUUGGUAAGCAAGCUACCUUCAGCAUCGGUAAAAUCCCUAUCAAUAAGAGGCCGGAAUGGUGGGGAAGGAAGCCCUCCCUACUUCAAUGAAAGGGGGGAAGAGCCCUUUCACAGCCGCUCCUCUACAACUACCUUUCGCCCAACAUGAUCACGAACGAAGACAGAGAAUUACGUAGAUAGGAGGACGAAACGAAAGACAGAGAAUUGCUUUGGAAGACAUCUGAAAAAAAGAAGAAAGACAAGUUUAGAUUAGAUAUAAAGAUAGUCCUAAAUAAGACACCCAAAUGUAAUAUUAAGGCUAGGACCCAACACAAUAUUUAAUAACUUCGAAGAGGGAUGUCGUAAUCCAAGCUAUAAAAUAUUUCAAGGUAGGUGAAUGACGAUUCACCAAUUUUCACCAUGAAAACGAAAUGAAUUAUUAGCUUUUAAUUGGUUUAUUGAAACUCCUAGAUUCUUUUGAGAUUCAUUGAACUUUUCAAUGGCAUGUUUCAAUCUCAAUUGUACCCUUCAAUUUUUGUGAUCGGGAUGCUGAGGAUCACAAAACAAGGUGUGAAUUACCAUGCAAAUUACUUGGUAAUCUUAAUGUUUAUCACCUAAUCAAUGUGCCGGUUAACCACAAGCGAUCCACCGAUCUAUGAUAAACCUUAAGCCACCCUUUACCAACCUUAUUAAAUCCAUGUUAGUGUGCCGGUUAAUCACACACGCUCCACUAACGACUUAAGCAAGGUGCAAAGUGUAAUUUCACGGGUGAGCACCAAAUUCACACUUUCCUAAAGUAACUAAGAUUGGGAAUUUAUAAAACAUUUAGUUACAUUAUAAUAAUCAUUAUACGUUUAAUGAGAAUUAAAGGCAUUGUCCUACCCGUUCGGCUAACGACCCUCCACCAGUCAAGGAAGCGGUGGGUGAGAGUGGACGCCCAUUAAGCUGCCAUUUUAUAGGAAACAACUUUAUACCCCCUUAUAGACUGGCUUCGUGAAUGAGGCCUACUAACGUUAAAACGACUUGUUCUUAUACACNAUAAAGUAUAAGGGUUGAAUUUUAACUUUUAAGAUUAUAGGGGUUGGAACUAAAGUUUUCUAAAGUGACUUUACAUGUUCCAAAACAUGAGGGCAAGUUUUAUAACUAUUCAAAACUUUUCAACUUUAUAACUUAUGAGUUAAUGGUUUAUGAAGACUCUUCAUUUUAUGUAACUUAUGUGUUGUUUAAUGUACUUUAAAAGAAAGAAUUUUGGUAAUCCAUAACUUGAGGACAAAUUAUG